rnacentral:rRNA from 1 species
CGCGUAGGUGGCCCGUGGAAGUCUGCGGUGAAAGCCCGGCGCUCAACGCCGGGUCGGCCGUGGAUACUCUCGGGCUUGAGCUCACUAGAGGCAGAUGGAAUUCCGGGUGUAGCGGUGGAAUGCGUAGAGAUCCGGAAGAACACCGGUGGCGAAGGCGGUCUGCUGGGGUGAGGCUGACACUGAGGCGCGACAGCGUGGGAGCAAACA